rnacentral:rRNA from 1 species
UACAGAGGGGGCAAGCGUUAUUCGGAAUUAUUGGGCGUAAAGGGCGCGUAGGCGGCUUUGCAAGUGGCGGGUGAAAUCCCUCGGCUUAACCGAGGAACUGCCUGUCAAACUGCAUGGCUUGAGACCAGGAGAGGUGAGUGGAAUUCCCAGUGUAGCGGUGAAAUGCGUAGAUAUCUGGAGGAACACCGGUGGCGAAGGCGGCAUCCUGGACCAACACUGACGCUGAGUGAGCGAAAGCCAGGGGAGCAAACGGG